rnacentral:lncRNA from 1 species
AUAACUGUGUAUUGGUUGGCUGAAAAACCAUCAGCAAGUAAGUAAGUGAAAUAAAAUAAGUUGAGGACGUUGUUAUUCUCAUGCUCAAACUCAUUUAAAUGGACCAUUGGCAGGAAAUUACUGAAGUGUAGCCUCAUGUUAAGAUUCGGUCGACAAUAAGGCUGGCGGCAUAUUCACCAAUUAAGGAUUUAAGUGCGCAAAAAAAGAAACUACGCACAUUGCGUAAAAUGGAUAGGCUAUCAAACUUCAGCACCUGCGUAAAUGCAUGUGUGAGAAGGCCGCGGGAAAAGCCAUUUUCCUAUGUAUAAAUCUACUAAUUUCCUUGACACAGAAAAGCCAAAGGUCUACGAAGGUGUUCGGGUGAAGAUCACGGUAAAGGAAUUGCUGGAAAAGCGCAGAGCUCGUCAAAUGAAAUUGUCAUCGGAAUGUGCAAACUCUUGGUAUCAAGAUGCUGUUGCCACACCUUCCUUAAGUCUGGUGCCAGAGCCAAGUGCACAACCCUGGCCCUGUGAGGACAACCCCAGUGACUAUGGGACAGAGUGUCUCUCAUUAUACAGUGAUAACUUCAGCUCGGCUCAACAGACUGAACCUGCAGCAUACAGUGAACCCUGCAACUACACUCAUCAACAGCCCUGGUCCCUUGGACAUAUAUUGCACAAGGACUAUAAGGAAGGACAGGCCUCCUGCUCCUCAUUAGAGACUUGGACUCCGGCCUGCACACCAGAGAAAAUUAAUCCUUUGGACACCCAUCAUCUCCCCUCCUCACUACAAGAAUACUCAGACCCUGUGGAUCCCACUUACAUAUCGCUUAAUACAAAUAUCACUCAAUAUGAUACCUCUGUGUACUCAAACCCUACUGAAUCGAGCUCUACAAUACAGUGGAUGCCCUGACCUAAGUAGCACAGGUUAUUAUGGGUCAACUUUGGACAACUGUUAUUAUAAAUGGCAAAUGUCAAGCAUGAGUCAUGUUUUAAAUACAGAGUUUCUGGAGGGUGGCGGGGAGAUGGUGGCUGGCUGGGCGCACUCUGUUCUGUGCCCCAUCUGGAGACCAACCUGAGGUUUAGGGCUGGCAGGGUCUACCAGCUGUGUGUGUGAGUGUAUGAGAGAGAGAAAGUGAGAUAAGGAACUUUUUUUUAUAGAUUGCCAUAAUUAUUUUUCAAGUCAAUAAAAUGAAACUGAAAAAGGUUGUCGUUUUUGAUCAUCCAGAGCUGUAGUUUAUCCAAAUAUGGUUUAGUGUGGUUUAGAAACUCGUUUAUCUAUCUUUUUCCACAUCCAUCUAUUCAUUAUAUUUCUAUGGCCCAACUCCACCG